rnacentral:tRNA from 1 species
GGGGUUGUGGCUCAGUGGUAGAGCGCUCACCUAGCAUGUGCGAGGCCCUGGGUUUUAUCCUCAGCACCA